CACUUAGAGGGAAGUUUUGAAGAAGAGGUCAUAGAAAACGCGGGUUGGGGAGAAAGUUGCGGUGAUAAUAGACUAAAGAAAAUAGGGAAGGACAGAGGCAGACCUGAGUUGCUUCUUUGGCUACACUCAGGGACUGGAUGAUGUGGGGAAGAGGGAGGGUGGCGGGGAGGAGAGUGAGGGAGGGAAAGAGGAAGAAGGGGGUGAGAGGGAGAAACCUGCUGCCGCUCGCCGGCUCUUUGUCUGCUCCGGGACUUGGAACAAAAGGGGAAACUCUGAUGAACUCUCCAUCCUCCUCUUCCCUGACGCCUGAUUAUCUCUUGUCUCACAACUUUGCUGGAGAGACUCUCUCAAGUGCCAGGCACCCAACAAGUUCGGGGGCUUUAGGAACUGAAGUUAGAGAACCAUCUCUGUAAAAAUGGAUAAAAGAGGGGGGAGAAGAAGGUGCUGGAAUGAUUAUGGGAAGCAUCAAGGAAGCAAAGCAAUGGCUAGAAUAACUUUCUAGCAAGUACCUUCUCCAAGUUAUAUUGUUCUUGUUGGAUCUUUCUGACAAUGGAUAUAACUGGGCCAACCAAUUACUGAGCGAAAGACAUCCAUCUUCACUUCUAAGUUAUUUUGACAAUGGGAGUUUUGCAUGUGACAUGGCUAUUCUGAAGGAUACUGUUACUGUUGGGAAUACUACUUCUUGAUCACUGGGAAUUCCCUGACUCAGAAGGAAUUAGCUAAAUCUUAUUUUACUGGGUGGCUGCUGAAGCAUGAUCACAAGACAUCCAGAAUGACUGAUAAGUGCUUCUCAGGUAGGGAAAGAAAUGAUUGCCAUUGUGGGUUAUAUUUUGUUGUACUUAAAAGUUUUUAUGCCUGACUUUGUUUGAUUUUCUGUCCAGAUUAGCCUCUGUUAAUAACAAAAGCCAUGUCACAUCAUAAAAGGACUCACCUUUCACAGUAUCAAUUUUAAAAAAUGUUGGCAUCCUUAUUUAAGUUAAGAUGGCUUUUCCCUAUUCACAUGAGUCAAUAUUAGAGUAAGCACAUUUUGAAGAAUAAGGUUUAACUGAAUGGAGCUGCAGAAAGUAUUACAGAUAGAGAACAAUUAUUGGGUUUCAAUGUGACUGUGACAGAAUGAAGCCUGUACUCAAACACUAAGGAAAUAAAUAAAUAUGGGGCAAAAUGAAAUGGUACUUCAUUUGUUUUGAUGUAAAUUUGGGACUUCUGACACUCUAGAUAAUAAGCUUAAAUCAUAGUGACCCGCCCUCUCUUUAUCAUGAAAUUCCUUUUCCUUCAAUGAAGCUUAUUGUAGAGUCCUCCAGUGAAAAUCUGGACUAUUGGAUCCUUAGUUGGAUGUUCAGAAAUGUUGGCACUUGGAUCUUUAACUUUAAAAACUCUCUUUCUGAUCUCCUUAUUCAAGGAGGGUAAGGUAUGUGGGAUGAAGAAUAUGUAGGUAUACAGCUUGGAUAAUGUCUAUUCUUGUACAUCUAUAAGGGAAUCCUGCUAGCCUUCCCAAGGCUUAUAUCCAGAAUAAUUUAAGUUUGUGAACUCUUGGAGAAACACUUGGUUUUUCAGAAUCUGCUUCUUGAAAGUGGGUGUUCCUUGUUUUUCUUCUUAGAAGGUGUGCAUUGUGGUGUAUUGUUUACUAGAAAACUGAGGUUUCUGUCUUGUGCAGGAGAGGAAUGUUUCAGCAGCUUCCCUCUAAUGCCAGACUACCUUUAAACAUUAUUUUUCCUUUUCUGUAUAGUAGUGAUAGGAAUGAUGUCACUUAAGAUUUAUUUCAUCAUUUGGGACAUUGCUGAGAUCUGGAUACAUUCAUGUUGUACAUGGGUUAUUUAUCAGAGAUUCAAAAUGAAUUGAGAACUAGCUCUAAGAAGGCUAAAUAGAGUUCUGUGAGUAGUUAUCGUGAUAUCAUAGCCUCAUGGGUAACAUUAGGAGAAGAUGAAUUAGGAAGGACUACUCAUUUGUAUUUAUGUAAACCGAGGUCCAAGAGACAUUUAAAUUUAGUUUUGUGUAUUGCUUCUGUUAGGGAUUUCAGGAAGCAUAUCCCAGGAUGAUUUGAGGUUGCUGUUGGGAGGUAAAAGUUACUCAGCUUUUGGCCCACUGCCCUUGAUUUUGAUUGAACAUCUGUAGUAUUCUAUGGUCUUGUUUAUGGGACUAAAUCAUCACUGUGGUUCUAAGCUCUAGAUGAAAUGGAAGUGUCUGAAUUCUCUGUAGGUUGAUUUGUUCAAAUGAAGUCUAGGAACCAUGGUUUGCAAAUCGAAUAUAUAAAUUUCCAUUUCUGUUUAGUCAAAUUAUUAUCCAAUUUUCCAACUCCUGACCAAAUUCUGUUUAUUCUACUUUGACACAUCAUAUAUAUAUA